GACCGAGGGUGCAAACGUUGUUCGGAAUUACUGGGCGUAAAGCGUGUGUAGGCGGCCAAGCAAGUCGGAUGUGAAAGCCCAGGGCUCAACCCUGGAAGUGCACUCGAUACUGCAUGGCUUGAGUAUCGGAGAGGUUGGUGGAAUUCUCGGUGUAGAGGUGAAAUUCGUAGAUAUCGAGAGGAACACCGGUGGCGAAGGCGGCCAACUGGACGAAUACUGACGCUGAGACACGAAAGCGUGGGGAGCAAACAGG
rnacentral:rRNA from 1 species